AAUGGAGUUCCAUAUGUAGAUAUAGGUAGGAGUAAAGUGACUAGGCAACAGGGUAGAUAAUAAACAGUAGCAGCAGUGUCUGUAAUGAGUCAAAAGAGUUAGUGCAGAUAGUGGGGGUAAAAGCUGUGUGCCGGGUCCUGUUAGUUCCAGACUUCAGUACAGCUUUCUGUGCAGAAGCAGGGAGAACAGUAUAUGACUUUGGUGGCUGGAGUCUUCCUCUGACACCACCUGGUAUAGAGGUCCUGGAUAGCAGGGAGCUCAGCACCAGUGAUGUACUGGGCCGUACACAUUAUCCUAUGAAGCGCCUUGCGGUCGGAUACCAAGUGGUGAUGCAGCCAGUAAAGACGCUCUCAUUGGUGCAGCUGUAGAAGGGGAAGAGUUGUGCCUUCUUCAUGACUUUGUUGGUGUGUGUGGGCUAUGCUAAUUCCUUAGUGAUGUGGACACCCAGGAGCUUAAAGCUCUUGACCCGCUCCACUACAGCCCUAUCGAUGUGGAUGGGGAUGUGCUCUGCCCUCUGUUUCCUGUCGUCCACAAUUGGCUCCUUUGUCUUGCUGACAUUGAGGGAGAGGUUGUUGUCCUGAACACCACACUGCCAGGUCACUGACCUCCUCCCUAUAGGGUGUCUCAUCGGGUCGUGUCAUCAGCAAACAUAAUGAUGGAGUCGUGAGCAGCCAGGCAGUCGUGGUUGAACAGGGAGUACAGGAGGAGACUAAGCACACACUCCUAAGUGAGCCCUUGUUGAGGGUGAGAGUGGCGGUCGUGUUAUUGCCUACCCUCACCACCUGGGGGCGGCCUGUCAGGAAGUCCAGGAUUCAGUUUCAGACAGUAGUGUUCAGUCAAAGGGUCCUGAGCUUAGUGAUGAGAUUUGUGGGCACUAUGGUGUUGAACGCUGAGCUGUAGUCAAUGAACUGUGUUCUCACAUGGGAGAGGGCAGUGUGGAAUGCAAUAGAGGUUACGUCAUCUGUGGAUCUGUUGGGGUGGUAUGCAAAUUUAAUUGGAGUGGGUAUGUGAAUUGGAGUGGGUCCACACACAGAGAGAGAGAGAUUUCAUUUCAUCAGUGAGAGGCUCUCCUGAGGGGAUGAGAGUGUGAGGAGAGGUGUAGAGCAGCAACAUUAAGACAUCUGGAGGUCUGAUUACUGACCACUAUACUGUAGACAUCUGGAGGUCUGAUUACUGACCACUAUACUGCAGACAUCUGGAGGUCUGAUUACUGACCACUAUACUGCAGACAUCUGGAGGUCUGAUUACUGACCACUAUACUGCAGACAUCUGGAGGUCUGAUCACUGACCACUAUACUGCAGACAUCUGGAGGUCUGAUUACUGACCACUAUACUGCAGACAUCUGGAGAUCUGAUCACUGACCACUAUACUGCAGACAUCUGGAGGUCUGAUUACUGACCACUAUACUGCAGACAUCUGGAGAUCUGAUCACUGACCACUAUACUACAGACAUCUGGAGGUCUGAUUACUGACCACUAUACUGCAGACAUCUGAAGGUCUGAUUACUGACCAUUAUACUGCAGACAUCUGGAGGUCUGAUUACUGACCACUAUACUGCAGACAUCUGGAGAUCUGAUCACUGACCACUAUACUACAGACAUCUGGAGGUCUGAUUACUGACCACUAUACUGCAGACAUCUGGAGGUCUGAUUACUGACCACUAUACUGCAGACAUCUGGAGGUCUGAUUACUGCCCACUAUACUGCAGACAUCUGGAGGUCUGAUUACUGACCACUAUACUGCAGACAUCUGGAGGUCUGAUUACUGACCACUAUACUGCAGACAUCUGGAGGUCUGAUUACUGACCACUAUACUGCAGACAUCUGGAGGUCUGAUCACUGACCACUAUACUGCAGACAUCUGGAGGUCUGAUUACUGACCACUAUACUGCAGACAUCUGGAGAUCUGAUCACUGACCACUAUACUGCAGACAUCUGGAGGUCUGAUUACUGACCACUAUACUGCAGACAUCUGGAGAUCUGAUCACUGACCACUAUACUACAGACAUCUGGAGGUCUGAUUACUGACCACUAUACUGCAGACAUCUGAAGGUCUGAUUACUGACCAUUAUACUGCAGACAUCUGGAGGUCUGAUUACUGACCACUAUACUGCAGACAUCUGGAGAUCUGAUCACUGACCACUAUACUACAGACAUCUGGAGGUCUGAUUACUGACCACUAUACUGCAGACAUCUGGAGGUCUGAUUACUGACCACUAUACUGCAGACAUCUGGAGGUCUGAUUACUGCCCACUAUACUGCAGACAUCUGGAGAUCUGAUCACUGACCACUAUACUGCAGACAUCUGGAGGUCUGAUUACUGACCACUAUACUGCAGACAUCUGGAGGUCUGAUCACUGACCACUAUACUGCAGACAUCUGGAGGUCUGAUUACUGACCACUAUACUGCAGACAUCUGGAGAUCUGAUCACUGACCACUAUACUGCAGACAUCUGGAGGUCUGAUUACUGACCACUAUACUGCAGACAUCUGGAGAUCUGAUCACUGACCACUAUACUACAGACAUCUGGAGGUCUGAUUACUGACCACUAUACUACAGACAUCUGGAGAUCUGAUCACUGACCACUAUACUACAGACAUCUGGAGGUCUGAUUACUGACCACUAUACUGCAAUGUGGAUGUGGACACCUACUUGUCGAACAUCUCAUUGUCAUGCUGAAACAGGAAACUGCCAAUGUUUUUGUAUGACUGUGUGCUUGAUUUUAUACUCCUGUCAGCAACAGGUGUGGCUGAAAUAGCCGAAUCCACUAAAUUGAAGGGGUGUCCACAUACUUUUGUAUAUAUAGUGUAUCUUACACAAGCACCGGUACGUACACACACAGGCAGUCUCAGCUUGCCACUCCCUCUACCCACAGUAAUGCAAAGUUCACCUUCAAACAGAUAUCAAUAUCAAUCAUUUGUACAGGCACAAAGGAAGACAGUUUUUGACUGAGCGUGUGUGUGUGCGCGCAUUGGUGUGUGUCCACAUCUAACAGCAUCUGUACGAGAGUCAGUUUUCUUGCAUGAAAAACUGCAAGCUAUGCCCUCUGCCUUGGGAGGUGGGCUGGAAGCUUGCCUGACAGAGGAGUACUGAGACUGAUCUAUUCCUGGGAAGAAUCUCUGAACUGGAUCAGAACCUGUCUGGCUCCUCUCCAUCCAUCCAGGGCAGCUGCCAAUCAAAACAAGCAAGAUGAUAGAGUGACACGAAUACAAGGUAGAAAGUGG